GCUGGAGGAAUCCACGGGGACCCUCCCGUCCUCCCACUUGUUUUGCUGAGGGAGAAAUUGAGGCUCAGAGCCGGAAGGAACCUGCCCGGUCAUGCAAAUCAAAAGUGGCAGAGCGAGCCCCAGAUCCAGAUCUCCCGGUUGGGAACUUUCCUCUUGCCCACACUCUCCCACAAGAACACAAACUCAGAGAAGAAACAGAGCUCCAGCUGCAGCUAAGAGCUCCAGCUACAAGGUCAGGGCCUGAGAACGAGGUGCUGAAUGAAGGCACAGGCGUUCCAGCUGGAAGCCACUGGGCACCGCGGGAGCGCCGUCCACGCCUCCGGGAGGCUUUCUUGCUGAAAUCAGCUCUGGCAGAGCCGUCAUCUCGCUGUGAGUCAGAGGCUGCACAGGAAGCAUCUUAACGACACUGCUUGGAGCUGAGGGCGAGAGGAGAGUACCUGAAGCUUCCUGCUAACGCACCUGAGAAGGCAACAGAUGAUGGCUCAAGUAACUGGGCCCCUGCCACUCACAUGGCAGACCUGGAGAGAGUUCCUGGAUCGAGGCUUUGACCUGGCCCAGCCCUUUCUUGGAUCAAGCUGAUUUGCACUUUCAGUUCCAUAUCCUCUCUGCACUCUGUGACUCUGCACGAAGACAGGCUGCCGCAGCACCUGACCACCACCUGCCAGAGAUCCGUCAGAGUCCUACAACCUCUGUCCACUGCUGGACAACCUGCAGGCUUGCACCCAGCCGAGCAGCAAUGGCAGGCAGCGGCCCUGGCCCUCUCGCCCUGAGCAGGGGCUCUGAGGCAUGCUGGGACCAGGGCAGGGCCUUCUCUGCUGGGAGAUGGAGGCUGCAGCAGGUCAGCCAUGGCCAACCUCCAAGCGGGCUCCGCUCCAACCUGUUGUUGUCAAGAACCCUGUCAGUGCCUGGGCUCUUCCAGCCACCUGAAGGACUCACUGGUUAGCUCUCCUUUCCAUUCCAGACCAAUUCCAACCUUUCCCCAGUAAGCCUUGUCAAACAAAGCCACUCACUUCCUGUGGCUUGCAAACACAGAGCCCUAAAGAACAGAUCUUUUUCUGCAGGCCCUGUGUGGGGUACCGGGAUGGAGAGGGAGAGGACACAGGCCCACAUGGCUAGACUCAUUGUCUGCCUGUUGAUGUAAGGGAUCAACUUUUCCUAUGAUUUUUCUUCCCUUUGUAAAAUAAUUCAACCUGGUCCUCCCUUUCUCUUAUUCCUCAUUCUAUAAAUUCUGUGAUUGCUCACCACAUCCCCACAGGAAGCUCUCAACAGUCACUGAAUGAAUGAAUGAAUGAAUGGAAGGUGUGAUCAUCUCUAUUUCCACAGAUCAGGAACGAAACUGAGACUCAGAGAGGCUUGUAACCAACCUAUGCACCUGCUAUGGGCAAGUGGCAAAGCAGAGAUUGAAAACCAGGCGAGGGGCUGGUGUUGUGGCACAGCAGGCUAAGCCGCCAU